rnacentral:rRNA from 1 species
UACGUAGGGUGCGAGCGUUAAUCGGAAUUACUGGGCGUAAAGCGUGCGCAGGCGGUUCGACAAGUCCGAUGUGAAAGCCCCGGGCUCAACCUGGGAAUGGCAUUGGAAACUGGCGAGCUUGAGUGUGGCAGAGGGGGGUGGAAUUCCACGUGUAGCAGUGAAAUGCGUAGAGAUGUGGAGGAACACCAAUGGCGAAGGCAGCCCCCUGGGUCGAUACUGACGCUCAUGCACGAAAGCGUGGGUAGCAAACAGG